UACGGGGGGGGCAAGCGUUGUUCGGAAUUACUGGGCGUAAAGGGCUCGUAGGCGGCCAACUAAGUCAGACGUGAAAUCCCUCGGCUUAACCGGGGAACUGCGUCUGAUACUGGAUGGCUGGAGGUUGGGAGAGGGAUGCGGAAUUCCAGGUGUAGCGGUGAAAUGCGUAGAUAUCUGGAGGAACACCGGUGGCGAAGGCGGCGUUCUGGACUGCAUCUGACACUGAAAGACGAAAGCCAGGGGAGCAAACGGG
rnacentral:rRNA from 1 species